UGUCUGUAUAUGGGUCCUUACAGGCAUGUGUGCAUUGUGUGUAAGUGUGUGUGUCUGCCUGUGUGAGUUUGUCUGUAUGUGCAUCUGUGUGUGCCUGUGUGUAUGUAUAUGUACUGUGUCUGUAGUAUCUGUGUAUCUCUGCCUCCCUGUGUAUGUGUAUGUGUAGUAUCUGUGCAUAUAUCUGUGUAACUGUGAUUCUCUGUGACUAUAUGACUGUGUAUAUGUGUGCUGUGUGUGUACCUGGAUAUGGAUGUGUGUCUCUGGGUGUACAUCCACACAUGUUGCUGCGUAUGUUUGUGUGUCUGUGUGCCUGGCUGUAGCUGUUUGUGUCUUUGCAGUCUGUAUAUGUUUGUGUCUCAGAGUGUGUGUCUGUGUAUCUCCAUGUGCAUCUGUGUGGGUGCAUGUAUGUUACAAGUCCUCGUGGUUGGGGUGUGGCAUCCAUCCGCAGAGCUUGGAGGAGGCUCUGCCGACAAACGCCUGAGCUUGGAGCUGCAGCCCUGGCCCCUGACUGUACUCUUCCUCUCCUUCCUGGUCCCUUUAACCCAUUCCUGCUCCACUGGAACCCGGGCACCUCCUUCUCUCCCUGGAAGGCUUCCCGCCUCCCCAAGAUUUCCAACCUUCCCCUCCACCUCUGCAGUCCCUGACCACACGAGCCCUCCCUCUCGGAGCAUCAGUUUCCUGAGUUUCCUGGUUUCUCUUACUAUCUUUCAGGUAUGGAACCAUCCCUCUAUUCUGCUGUCAACAAUAAUGAAGAGCACCAUUGUGACCCUCACCACUCUACAGCAGAAGGUUCCAAGAGGUGGUCUGGGGACUGCUCGUGACAAGACUGGAGGCCGGCCCAGGGAAGGCCCUGCCAGGCUUCCCACAGCCCCAGUCACUGACCUUACCAUUUACAACAGCUGUAGCCCCAACAGGAGACUAGAAGGACUCUCAGAGGGGAUCAGUUUGAGGGGCCAAGGCCUCCAGGGCUCCCAUUCAUUUAGUGAGCUACUCACUGAGCAUGUAGUGUGCGCCGGGAGCCUAGGCUGCUCACCUGGUCUCCACAGCCAGCCUGUGAGUCAUCGGAGUUGUUGGUGUGCCUGGUACCACUGUGUACCCAGCACCAGCGGCAGCUGUCACCUUGGGAGUCUUCGCGACAACCCAUGUUCCAGGUCAGGAAAGUAGAGCUCCAAGACAAGCAGAGACCUGGCCAACACUCUGCUCAUUUCCCCGAUUCCAUUCUGCUUGAGUUUUUCUUUAAGCCCACAGCAAACCUCAGCUUUCCCUUGCCUGAAGUUGAAACUGUCACCAGCAGACAUGGAUGUGACUCUACAGGAUGCCAGCUCCUGAUGGGGAGGAGACUGCUGAGGGAACAGACAUGGGAGAAGCGUUUGUUACUACCCCUUGCCCUGCUGCUCUCCUUUACCCUCUGGGAAGUGGGUAUAGGUUCCUCAGGUUUCUCCUCACCCAGUGGCAGCCAACAGGCUACUGAGCUCAUGGUGACAGAGAGGCCACAUCAGCCCUGGGAGAAGGGACGCUCCCCCACACUGCAGAUGGGCACACGCACGAGCACACACUCACAGCACUCAGACUUUCACUCACACUCUGACACACUCACUGGUACAGACGCUCACGACCCGGAGCCUCUUCACAGUGCCUCACCCCCGGGCACACAGUGGGCCAGCCCGCAUCUUUCCUCCCUGUCCCGAGCCCCAGGCUUGGCGGCAUCCUUGUCCUGCUGCCUGGGAGACACAUGUGGUUUCAGUUAGCAGCAGAGCGGGCAUCUCCAUCCCAGACAGCGGGGCUCUGCCAGGGCCCCAGCCCCCUAGGAGCGCACAGAAG